rnacentral:lncRNA from 1 species
UCAGGGGUUAGGGGUUGUCCCUUGGUGACCUAAAUGAAAAAACAGGUCCAGAACAGAGUUCCUGAUGCUGGACACUCAUUCAGUCUUUGAAUCGUGGGAGGGGAGGCCUGGUACUAGGUAGACCUAACCUCUUUGAGGAACCACAGAGCCCAAGGCUGGAAACCUCCAGAAUCCUCCACCCCCUGAUCCUCCCUGGGGACCCCUGUGGCCUGUCUCACUGAGCACUCUUCCAUCUGUAGAUGUCUGGGCUGCUGUACAAGGGAGUCCCCUUUCAGGUGUGGUGCUAGACAUGGUCACUCCUGCUGGAUGUCUAGGUGGUAGAAACCAAGGACCUAGGGAAAUACCAGGUACAGCCUUUCCAUGCUCAUCCAGAGCAGGACAAACAGGCCAGGCGGUGUCAGGAGCCCAGGUCUCCAGCUGGAGGGAACGUCAACCCUUCGGUGGGAGCAGGGGCCCUUUGCACAUCCUAGGCACAGAUGGUAAUGUAGACACCGCAGGUAAGCUGGGCUUGGUACCUACCCCUCCCCGGAUUCAGAAAGAAACCAAACAAGGAGCUUUGUGCGGAAUGAAACCUCCUUUCCUCCCAGAAGCACUGCUGACUGUUUGGUGGUUGCCAUUUGUGGCAGUGAGCCUUUGUUUGUUCUGAGGUUGGGCUGGUUUCUCCUCUUGGCCCUGCCCUACAGAUCAUAAAGGAGAAGAGCAAGAGGUCCCCAGCAAACAUCCACAGAUGGCCUUGGAAAUAAGUCACCUUCCUCACCCUGCAGGAAUGCCAGUGAACUUAUUGCUGACAUCUUGGAGCUCAGUACCCUCAUAGUGUAACGGCGUCAGCAGAUCUGCCUGUGCUGGGACUUCCUGUACUACCCAUUCCUGAGGGGCGAUGCUUCUGCAGGGCCUGUGACUUGGUGCACAACUUCAGACACCAUCAUCUUGCAGCAGCACCGCACCCUCACUAGCCAGGGUGUUGAUGACUUCCUCAAGGCCAAGGCCACAUUCAAGGCUUCGGACUUCAUUGAUGCGCUUGUGCUGAGCAAGCCUCAGUGUAUGGGCGCUGUUCAUCCUCUGGUGCUGAAGCAGCCAAGAGACCCAAGUCUGCCUGGCUGCCUCUUAGGAUAUGACAGCAGAGCCAGUGGCCUCUACUAGAUCCUGUACAACCUCACAAAACACCCAGACAUCGGGAGUGCUGCCAGCCUGUGAUGCAAGAGUCCUAAUCCUGAAGACAUUGAAUGACCUGUCAUUCUGCUGUUUUUACCAAAAAGGAUCAUGAGGAUCAGAGAGGAAAAGUCAUUUGCCCAAAGUCACACAGCUGAACAGUGGUGGAGUUCAACUUUGACCGUGGGCUGUCUGGCCCCAAGGUGUAUGCUUGCUUCUCUCCCAAGAGACAACUUUCUUAUCAGGCUCAAAUGAAUGAAAGGAGGAUGUUAAAGUUCCUAGAAGCUUUAAUUGAAUGAAAGUUCCUAGUAGAUCUGUACCUACUAAAAACCACACUUCUGAAGCUACGUGGCCACCAGAAGACACAGCUAGUCUGCCAUGUAAAAAAGGAAAGGUGGCGUGUGCCCUGAAGGUGCAGGGGUGAGAGGCAGGGAAAUGGAGACCCCAACAGCCAGCAGCAGUGGCCCUCAUCACAGCCCUCCAGGAGAUAUCAAAGGAGACAACGCCAUUAUUGACGAGAUCACUCCCAAGCGGAUUGGAGAUUGUCCCAAUACUUAGACCUAUAGCAAGGCCUUGGGAGAAAUGGUGGUGCAGCAGGAGAGCAGGAACCUAACCAUUGCCAUCCUAAGGCCCUGCAUUGUGCAGAGCAACGUGGCACCAGCUUUUCCUGGGUUGGGUUGAUAAUCUAAAUGGAUGUAGCUGACUCAUUAUUGCGGUAUGUAUAGGCUGGGAAAGGGUUUCUUCUGUCCAUAAAAGCUACUCCAAUGGCUGUGGGAGACUUAAUUCCAAUUCCAGGUGAUACAGCCGUCAGUCUCCCACUAGCUGUAGGAUGGUGUGCUGCAGUUCACAGACCUAAGUCAAUGUUAGUCUACCACUGUACGUCUGGUAACCUCAAUCCCUGCAACCGGAGCAAAAUGUGAUUCCAGGUCUUGGCAACCUCUGAAAUUCCAACUCCAUUUGCGAGAGCUUUGAGGAGGCCAUAUGCUGAUUUCACCACAAGCAACUUCACAACCCAGUACUGGAAUGCCAUCAGCCAGCAGGCCCCUGCCAUUAUCUGUGACUUCUAUCUGUGGCUCAUUGGAAGGAAACCCAGCUACCGAAGGAAGAUACCCUCAUCAACCCAAUUUUACAAAUGGAGAAAUAGAAGCUCAGGGAAGAAUCUGAAGUAGUCUCAAAGGAAGUGACAGGAAGGAUGUGGAGAAAGCUGAGUGUCAAAGUCAGUAUUCAAGACCGGAUUUACUGCUACUUAGAGAUGAAUGAAGAAAUCAGAGGGAACGCAGUGUGCUGAUGCUAAAGCGGCUGUCACCACCCAGCUGUGUGACAUAGGACAUCUUCUUUCUCUGUCUCACUUGACUAAUAUGUUGUGUCAGGGGAGACAUGAUUGUAAUUGCCUAAAGCAAUUCUUGUGAUCAAGAAUCAGAAGCAUGAACAGUAUUGCCCUCUGUGUUAGCCCCUUUAUAAGGGAGGAAGUCAUCUUCAGCAUGCUGAAUUGUCAUCUUUCUUAGCAGUGCAAAUGACUAAAACUUAGCCAAUGUAGAGUUUGUCCAAAUUUGGAGCUCAUAACUCAGUUCUUGAGCAAAGUGAAAAGAAAACAUUGUGAUUAUGGGGAAAAUAUUUGUACGGGACUUAUCAAAUAAAGAUAGGAAAAGAAGAAAACUCAAAUAUUAUAGGCAGAAAUGCUAAAGGUUUUAAAAUAUGUCAGGAUUGGAAGAAGGCAUGGAUAAAGAACAAAGUUCAGUUAGGAAAGAGAAACACAGAAGGAAGAGACACAAUAAAAGUCAUUAUGUAUUCUGUGAGAAGUCAGACAGUAAGAUUUGUGGGAAAUGGGUUGGUUUGUUGUAUGGUAUGUAUUUUAGCAAUAAUCUUUAUGGCAGAGAAAGCUAAAAUCCUUUAGCUUGCGUGAAUGAUCACUUGCUGAAUUCCUCAAGGUAGGCAUGAUGAAGGAGGGUUUAGAGGAGACACAGACACAAUGAACUGACCUAGAUAGAAAGCCUUAGUAUACUCAGCUAGGAAUAGUGAUUCUGAGGGCACACUGUGACAUGAUUAUGUCAUUACAUGUAUGGUAGUGAUGGGGAUGAUAGAAGGAAGAACUUAUGGCAUAUUUUCACCCCCACAAAAAUCAGUUAAAUAUUGGGACACUAACCAUCCAGGUCAAGAAAAGUCACAUGCCAUAGCCAUGGUAUUGCACAUCAUUCAUCUUGCAUUCUUUGAGAAUAAGAAGAUCAGUAAAUAGUUCAGAAGUGGGAAGCUUUGUCCAGGCCUGUGUGUGAACCCAAUGUUUUGUUUAGAAAUAGAACAAGUAAGUUCAUUGCUAUAGCAUAACACAAAAUUUGCAUAAGUGGUGGUCAGCAAAUCCUUGAAUGCUGCUUAAUGUGAGAGGUUGGUAAAAUCCUUUGUGCAACACUCUAACUCCCUGAAUGUUUUGCUGUGCUGGGACCUGUGCAUGCCAGACAAGGCCAAGCUGGCUGAAAGAGCAACCAGCCACCUCUGCAAUCUGCCACCUCCUGCUGGCAGGAUUUGUUUUUGCAUCCUGUGAAGAGCCAAGGAGGCACCAGGGCAUAAGUCUACUCACUUAUAUCUGUUUGUCUGGAACAUAACCCAUGUUUGUUUUUACAACAAAUAAAAUUGAUCUUGAAUAAAAA